CCUACGGGUGGCAGCAGUAGGGAAUAUUGCUCAAUGGGGGAAACCCUGAAGCAGCAACGCCGCGUGGGGGAUGAAGGUCUUAGGAUUGUAAACUCCUUUUGUCAGAGAAGAUUAUGACGGUAUCUAACGAAUAAGCACUGGCUAACUCCGUGCCAGCAGCCGCGGUAAUACGGAGGGUGCAAGCGUUACUUGGAAUCACUGGGCGUAAAGGGUGCGUAGGUGGGGUAAUAAGUCAGAUGUGAAAUCCUGUAGCUUAACUACGGAACUGCAUUUGAAACUGUCACUCUGGAGUGUGGGAGAGGAAAGUGGAAUUCUAGGUGUAGGAGUAAAAUCCGUAGAGAUCAAGAGGAAUACUCGUGGCGAAGGCGACCAGCUGGAACAUAACUGACGCUGAUGCGCGAAAGCGUGGGGAGCAAACAGGAUUAGAUACCCGGGUAGUC
rnacentral:rRNA from 1 species